rnacentral:rRNA from 1 species
GACGAACGCUGGCGGCGUGCUUAACACAUGCAAGUCGAACGGAAAGGCCCUGCUUUUGUGGGGUGCUCGAUUGGCGAACGGGUGAGUAACACGUGAGUAACCUGCCCUUGACUUUGGGAUAACUUCAGGAAACUGGGGCUAAUACCGGAUAGGAGCUCCUGCUGCAUGGUGGGGGUUGGAAAGUUUCGGCGGUUGGGGAUGGACUCGCGGCUUAUCAGCUUGUUGGUGGGGUAGUGGCUUACCAAGGCUUUGACGGGUAGCCGGCCUGAGAGGGUGACCGGCCACAUUGGGACUGAGAUACGGACCAGACUCCUACGGGAGGCAGCAGUGGGGAAUAUUGCACAAUGGGCGGAAGCCUGAUGAAGCAACGCCGCGUGCGGGAUGACGGCCUUCGGGUUGUAAACCGCUUUCGCCUGUGACGAAGCGUGAGUGACGGUAAUGGGUAAAGAAGCACCGGCUAACUACGUG